CACGUAGGGCGCGAGCGUUGUCCGGAAUUAUUGGGCGUAAAGAGCUCGUAGGCGGCCUGUUGCGUCCGCUGUGAAAGCCCGGGGCUUAACCCCGGGUCGGCAGUGGAUACGGGCAGGCUAGAGGUAGGUAGGGGAGAAUGGAAUUCCCGGUGUAGCGGUGAAAUGCGCAGAUAUCGUGAGGAACACCGGUGGCGAAGGCGGUUCUCUGGGCCUUACCUGACGCUGAGGAGCGAAAGCGUGGGGAGCGAACAGG
rnacentral:rRNA from 1 species